rnacentral:tRNA from 1 species
AAAGGGAGACCUAAUUCAGGUAAAAGACGAAAAAAAAGUAGUCGCUACCAUGAAUCAAUCCCAAAAGGUCGGAGCGAGGCGAAAUUGGCUUUCAAACUAGGUUCUGGGUUCAAACAAGACCUGAAUCAGGAACAAGGGCUAUUAGCUCAGGUGGUUAGAGCGCACCCCUGAUAAGGGUGAGGUCCCUGGUUCGAGUCCAGGAUGGCCCACCUGCACAGGUGGCAAAAACAAGAGAAGCGAGGAAUCAGCACCUUAUCUUACUUAUAUAGUAAGAGAGAAUGCUGGCUCUGAGUAAAGAGUCCAGAGGAACCUUGAAAACUGCAUAGAGCUAGGUGAAAAAGCCAAAAAAGAAGACCGCAAG